CCUACGGGAGGCAGCAGUGGGGAAUCUUGCGCAAUGGGCGAAAGCCUGACGCAGCCACGCCGCGUGCGGGAUGAAGGCCCUAGGGUUGUAAACCGCUUUUAACAGGAACGAAAAUGACGGUACCUGUAGAAUAAGGUGCGGCCAACUACGUGCCAGCAGCCGCGGUGACACGUAGGCACCAAGCGUUGUCCGGAUUUAUUGGGCGUAAAGAGCUCGUAGGCGGUUCAGUAAGUCGGGUGUGAAAACUCUGGGCUUAACCCAGAGACGCCACUCGAUACUAUUGUGACUAGAGUUCGGUAGGGGAGCGGGGAAUUCCUAGUGUAGCGGUGAAAUGCGCAGAUAUUAGGAGGAACACCGGUGGCGAAGGCGCCGCUCUGGGCCGAUACUGACGCUGAGGAGCGAAAGCGUGGGUAGCAAACAGGAUUAGAUACCCUGGUAGUCCACGCCGUAAACGGUGGGCACUAGGUGUGGGUUCCAACCAACGGAAUCCGCGCCGUCGCUAACGCAUUAAGUGCCCCGCCUGGGGAGUACGGCCGCAAGGUUAAAACCUCAAAGAUAGUAGCGUGAGACUGCCGACGACGACACACGGGAGGAGG
rnacentral:rRNA from 1 species